rnacentral:rRNA from 1 species
UACGUAGGGGGCGAGCGUUGUCCGGAUUUAUUGGGCGUAAAGAGCUCGUAGGCGGUUUGGUAAGUCGGGUGUGAAACCUCCAGGCUCAACCUGGAGCCGCCACUCGAUACUGCCAUGACUUGAGUCUGGUAGGGGACCACGGAAUUCCUGGUGUAGCGGUGAAAUGCGCAGAUAUCAGGAGGAACACCGGUGGCGAAGGCGGGUCUCUGGGCCGAUACUGACGCUGAGGAGCGAAAGCGUGGGGAGCGAACAGG